rnacentral:rRNA from 1 species
CGGACGGGUGAGUAACGCGUGAGAACCUACCCCUAGGAGGGGGACAACAACUGGAAACGGUUGCUAAUACCCCAUAUGCUGAGGAGUAAAACGGUGAAAACCGCCUAGGGACGGGCUUGCGUCUGAUUAGCUUGUUGGUGAGGUAAAUGCUUACCAAGGCGAUGAUCGGUAGCUGGUCUGAGAGGAUGAUCAGCCACACUGGGACUGAGACACGGCCCAGACUCCUACGGGAGGCAGCAGUGAGGAAUUUUCCGCAAUGGGCGAAAGCCUGACGGAGCAAUGCCGCGUGGAGGAUGAAAGCCUGUGGGUCGUAAACUCCUUUUCUCAGAGAAGAAGAUCUGACGGUAUCUGAGGAAUAAGCAUCGGCUAACUCCGUGCCAGCAGCCGCGGUAAUACGGAGGAUGCAAGCGUUAUCCGGAAUGAUUGGGCGUAAAGCGUCUGUAGGUGGUUUCAUAAGUCCACUGUCAAAGAUCAGGGCUUAACCCUGAGCAGGCAGUGGAAACUAUGAGGCUUGAGUACGGUAGGGGCAGAGGGAAUUCCCGGUGUAGCGGUGAAAUGCGUAGAGAUCGGGAAGAACACCAAUGGCGAAAGCACUCUGCUGGGCCGAAACUGACACUGAGAGACGAAAGCUAGGGGAGCAAAUGGGAUUAGAUACCCCAGUAGUC